UUCAAGUCAUAUGUGUAAAUUUUCACUGUCGCUUGGUGUUUUUUUUUUUAUUUUUUUCGUUCGUUCGUUCGUUUUGUUCGUGUUCGAAUUCAAUUUAAAAUGCACGUAGUUAUGUCUGUUUGCAUAAGUUUUUGACGGAUAUUUUAACGAUGUGAGCUCAACACAAAUUCACUUUAAAUGUUUUGCGUGUGACGGUGGAGAGGGAGAUGGAGAUGGAGACGGAGACGGGGGAGAUGUCAAGACUUUGAGUUGUUGCUGGACUUGGAUGUGGACGUAAGGAGAUGAUGGGUGAUGGGUAAGACGACAACAGUUCCAUUCCCGUCCGUCUAUCCGUCCUCAAAGAUGACGAACAACGACGACGACGACGACAACAACAAACAUGUCGAGAUAUUCACGUCCGAGUGAUAAUGAGAUGCGCGCCUUUUUUUUCCCCCAGUUGGCUCUACACCAUCAAGCCCACUCCCACCGCCAACCUCCUCGUAGCCCUCUCUCAUCAUGCCAAUUGCCCACUCUGCCCACGCCAUCGCCUGCGUUUUUGCUGUAUUUUCGCUGAUAAACAAGAUGGAGUUACAUUUUUAGGUUAAUUAUGUGCUAAAGUAUGGGACAACGACGACGAUGAGUCUUGUCUCCUUGUCAAGCUGAGAAAGAGAAGGGGGAGACGCAGAUAGAGAAAAUGCCUUUUACAUAAAAUCUUGAAAUAUGAUAUCACUCUCUCGAUUUAUGGCCACAUAUGUACCUAGUUAAAGGCAAUGCAUCAAUGGCUGACAUUUUGGUUAUUUGAUUAGGUCCACCAUCAUAUUUUAAAGGUUGACUCCAACCCAGUCAGCAGUCAGUAGCAGCAGCAGAAGCAACCUUUAUUCUAUGUGCAAAUGCACUUACCAUACAAAUCUAAGCAAGGACUAAUACCCAUCAGAAGUUGUUACUGAAAUAUUAAGAAGAAAUUUAUAUUGAACGUCACUUUGAAGAUUUAUUUUGAGAAUAAAUGGCAAUAAUCUUUA